rnacentral:rRNA from 1 species
UACAGAGGUCCCAAGCGUUGUCCGGAUUCACUGGGCGUAAAGGGUGCGUAGGUGGUGAGGUAAGUUUGAUGUGAAAUCUCCGGGCUCAACCCGGAAAUGGCAUUGAAUACUAUCUUGCUAGAGGAGUGGAGGGGGGACUGGAAUACUUGGUGUAGCAGUGAAAUGCGUAGAUAUCAAGUGGAACACCAGUGGCGAAGGCGAGUCCCUGGACACUUCCUGACACUGAGGCACGAAAGCUAGGGGAGCAAACAGG